rnacentral:rRNA from 1 species
UACGUAGGGUGCGAGCGUUUGUCCGGAAUUAUUGGGCGUAAAGAGCUUGUAGGCGGUUUGUCGCGUCUGCUGUGAAAUCUCAAGGCUCAACCUUGAGCUUGCAGUGGGUACGGGCAGACUAGAGUGUGGUAGGGGGAGACUGGAAUUCCUGGUGUAGCGGUGGAAUGCGCAGAUAUCAGGAGGAACACCAAUGGGCGAAGGCAGAUCUCUGGGCCGUAACUGACGCUGGAGGAGCGAAAAGCAUGGGGGAGCGAACAGG